rnacentral:tRNA from 1 species
CGNGGACUUUAUAAAUCGGNAGGGUUCAAGUCCCUCUAUCCCCA